AGUGAACGCUGGCGGCGUGCCUAACACAUGCAAGUCGAACGGGCUAGUGCUUCGCACUAGUCUCUUUCUGGGGUUGCUACUCUAAGGCUACCUGCUAAAGUUAUUGCUUUAAAGCAGGGGUUUUAGGGGACCUUCCCCAAAAGGGGCCAGUGCGGAGCACUGGCCAGUGGCGAACGGGUGAGUAACACGUGGGUAAUCUGCCCUCGAGUGGGGAAUAAGCUCCCGAAAGGGGGUCUAAUACCGCAUGACGUUUCAUAACGAUGGUUAUGAAACCAAAGCCAAAAGGCGCUUGAGGAGGAGCCUGCGUCCUAUCAGCUUGUUGGCAGGGUAAUGGCCUACCAAAGGCUAUGACGGGUAGCCGGCCUGAGAGGGUGUCCGGCCACACUGGAACUGAGACACGGUCCAGACUCCUACGGGAGGCAGCAGUGGGGAAUUUUGCGCAAUGGGGGAAAACCCGUGACGCAGCGACGCCGCCGUGGAGGAGUGACGGCCGUCGUGUAGUACGUACGUACGUACGUACGUAACGGAA
rnacentral:rRNA from 1 species